GUUAAACAUAGCAGCUUCUACUACUGGGUGAAAGGAAAUCAAAAUAAGGAAGGAAGGAAAGUCUUGUUGACCCAGAAAUCUCUGGCCCCCCGCCACAUAUGUGAUAAGAUAUGUGACUCAGAUGAAAAUGAGGCCAAAGAUCUGUCAAAGACAGUAAAAGAUAUUCUCAUGGAGACUCUAAAAAGUGGCAGCCAACUAAAAGGAAGUCUCCCGAGACCAAGAAGAACUGUAGAUCCUACAGCACCAGCUUCUAUUGGAGCAGCACUACCAUUUUCUCACCCGAUAUAACUUCCAUGAAUAUCCCACACAAACACAGUCUGAAG
rnacentral:lncRNA from 1 species